UGCUUAACACAUGCAAGUCGAACGGAAAGGCCCUGCUUUUGUGGGGUGCUCGAGUGGCGAACGGGUGAGUAACACGUGAGUAACCUGCCCUUGACUUUGGGAUAACUUCAGGAAACUGGGGCUAAUACCGGAUAGGAGCUCCUGCUGCAUGGUGGGGGUUGGAAAGUUUCGGCGGUUGGGGAUGGACUCGCGGCUUAUCAGCUUGUUGGUGGGGUAGUGGCUUACCAAGGCUUUGACGGGUAGCCGGCCUGAGAGGGUGACCGGCCACAUUGGGACUGAGAUACGGCCCAGACUCCUACGGGAGGCAGCAGUGGGGAAUAUUGCACAAUGGGCGGAAGCCUGAUGCAGCAACGCCGCGUGCGGGAUGACGGCCUUCGGGUUGUAAACCGCUUUCGCCUGUGACGAAGCGUGAGUGACGGUAAUGGGUAAAGAAGCACCGGCUAACUACGUGCCAGCAGCCGCGGUGAUACGUAGGGUGCGAGCGUUGUCCGGAUUUAUUGGGCGUAAAGGGCUCGUAGGUGGUUGAUCGCGUCGGAAGUGUAAUCUUGGGGCUUAACCCUGAGCGUGCUUUCGAUACGGGUUGACUUGAGGAAGGUAGGGGAGAAUGGAAUUCCUGGUGGAGCGGUGGAAUGCGCAGAUAUCAGGAGGAACACCAGUGGCGAAGGCGGUUCUCUGGGCCUUUCCUGACGCUGAGGAGCGAAAGCGUGGGGAGCGAACAGGCUUAGAUACCCUGGUAGUCCACGCUGUAAACGGUGGGUACUAGGUGUGGGGUCCAUUCCACGGGUUCCGUGCCGUAGCUAACGCUUUAAGUACCCCGCCUGGGGAGUACGGCCGCAAGGCUAAAACUCAAAGGAAUUGACGGGGCCCCGCACAAGCGGCGGAGCAUGCGGAUUAAUUCGAUGCAACGCGUAGAACCUUACCUGGGUUUGACAUGGAUCGGGAGUGCUCAGAGAUGGGUGUGCCUCUUUUGGGGUCGGUUCACAGGUGGUGCAUGGCUGUCGUCAGCUCGUGUCGUGAGAUGUUGGGUUAAGUCCCGCAACGAGCGCAACCCUUGUUCACUGUUGCCAGCACGUUAUAGUGGGGACUCAGUGGAGACCGCCGGGGUCAACUCGGAGGAAGGUGGGGAUGACGUCAAGUCAUCAUGCCCCUUAUGUCCAGGGCUUCACGCAUGCUACAAUGGCUGGUACAGAGAGUGGCGAGCCUGUGAGGGUGAGCGAAUCUCGGAAAGCCGGUCUCAGUUCGGAUUGGGGUCUGCAACUCGACCUCAUGAAGUCGGAGUCGCUAGUAAUCGCAGAUCAGCAACGCUGCGGUGAAUACGUUCCCGGGGCUUGUACACACCGCCCGUCAAGUCAUGAAAGUUGGUAACACCCGAAGCCGGUGGCCUAACCGUUGUGGGGGAGCCGUCGAAGGUGGGACUGGUGAUUAGGACUAAGUCGU
rnacentral:rRNA from 1 species